UAUUCUUAGUUGCCAUCAUUCAGUUGGGCACUCUAAGGAGACUGCCGGUGAUAAACCGGAGGAAGGUGGGGAUGACGUCAAAUCAUCAUGCCCCUUAUGACCUGGGCUACACACGUGCUACAAUGGACGGUACAAACGGUUGCCAACCCGCGAGGGGGAGCUAAUCCGAUAAAACCGUUCUCAGUUCGGAUUGUAGGCUGCAACUCGCCUACAUGAAGCCGGAAUCGCUAGUAAUCGCGGAUCAGCAUGCCGCGGUGAAUACGUUCCCGGGCCUUGUACACACCGCCCGUCACACCACGAGAGUUUGUAACACCCGAAGUCGGUGAGGUAACCUUUUGGAGCCAGCCGCCGAAGGUGGGAUAGAUGAUUGGGGUGAAGUCGUAACAAGGUAACCAGACCU
rnacentral:rRNA from 1 species